rnacentral:rRNA from 1 species
CGGAGCUUGCUCCGCGGAUCAGUGGCGAACGGGUGAGUAACACGUGAGCAACCUACCCCUGACUCUGGGAUAACAGUUGGAAACAGCUGCUAAUACCGGAUACGACCUCAGCAGGCAUCUGCCGAGGUGGAAAGCUCCGACGGUCAUGGAUGGGCUCGCGGCCUAUCAGCUUGUUGGUGAGGUAACGGCUCACCAAGGCGACGACGGGUAGCCGGCCUGAGAGGGCGACCGGCCACACUGGGACUGAGAUACGGCCCAGACUCCUACGGGAGGCAGCAGUGGGGAAUAUUGCACAAUGGGCGCAAGCCUGAUGCAGCAACGCCGCGUGCGGGAUGACGGCCUUCGGGUUGUAAACCGCUUUCAGCAGGGACGAAGCUAACGUGACGGUACCUGCAGAAGAAGCACCGGCUAACUACGUGCCAGCAGCCGCGGUGAUACGUAGGGUGCGAGCGUUGUCCGGAUUUAUUGGGCGUAAAGAGCUUGUAGGCGGUUUGUUGCGUCGGAAGUGAAAACUCAGAGCUUAACUCUGAGCCUGCUUUCGAUACGGGCAGACUUGAGGGAUGUAGGGGAGAACGGAAUUCCUGGUGGAGCGGUGGAAUGCGCAGAUAUCAGGAGGAACACCAGUGGCGAAGGCGGUUCUCUGGACAUUUCCUGACGCUGAGAAGCGAAAGCGUGGGGAGCAAACAGGCUUAGAUACCCUGGUAGUCCACGCCGUAAACGGUGGGCACUAGGUGUGGGACCCUUCCACGGGUUCCGUGCCGUAGCUACGCAUUAAGUGCCCCGCCUGGGGAGUACGGCCGCAAGGCUAAAACUCAAAGGAAUUGACGGGGGCCCGCACAAGCGGCGGAGCAUGCGGAUUAAUUCGAUGCAACGCGAAGAACCUUACCUGGGUUUGACAUAUACCGGAAACAUCUGGAGACAGGUGCCCCGCAAGGUCGGUAUACAGGUGGUGCAUGGCUGUCGUCAGCUCGUGUCGUGAGAUGUUGGGUUAAGUCCCGCAACGAGCGCAACCCUCGUUCUAUGUUGCCAGCGGAUAAUGCCGGGAACUCAUAGAAGACUGCCGGGGUCAACUCGGAGGAAGGUGGGGAUGACGUCAAGUCAUCAUGCCCCUUAUGUCCAGGGCUUCACGCAUGCUACAAUGGCUGGUACAAAGGGCUGCGAUAUCGCAAGAUGGAGCGAAUCCCAUAAAGCCAGUCUCAGUUCGGAUUGGGGUCUGCAACUCGACCCCAUGAAGUCGGAGUCGCUAGUAAUCGCAGAUCAGCAACGCUGCGGUGAAUACGUUCCCGGGCCUUGUACACACCGCCCGUCAAGUCAUGAAA